GGCCUAACACAUGCAAGUCGAGCGGUAACAGAAAGUAGCUUGCUACUUUGCUGACGAGCGGCGGACGGGUGAGUAAUGCUUGGGAACAUGCCUUGAGGUGGGGGACAACAGUUGGAAACGACUGCUAAUACCGCAUAAUGUCUACGGACCAAAGGGGGCUUCGGCUCUCGCCUUUAGAUUGGCCCAAGUGGGAUUAGCUAGUUGGUGAGGUAAUGGCUCACCAAGGCGACGAUCCCUAGCUGGUUUGAGAGGAUGAUCAGCCACACUGGGACUGAGACACGGCCCAGACUCCUACGGGAGGCAGCAGUGGGGAAUAUUGCACAAUGGGCGCAAGCCUGAUGCAGCCAUGCCGCGUGUGUGAAGAAGGCCUUCGGGUUGUAAAGCACUUUCAGUCAGGAGGAAAGGUUAGUAGUUAAUACCUGCUAGCUGUGACGUUACUGACAGAAGAAGCACCGGCUAACUCCGUGCCAGCAGCCGCGGUAAUACGGAGGGUGCGAGCGUUAAUCGGAAUUACUGGGCGUAAAGCGUACGCAGGCGGUUUGUUAAGCGAGAUGUGAAAGCCCCGGGCUCAACCUGGGAACUGCAUUUCGAACUGGCAAACUAGAGUGUGAUAGAGGGGUGGUAGAAUUUCAGGUGUAACGGUGAA
rnacentral:rRNA from 1 species